ensembl:lncRNA USP2-AS1 USP2 antisense RNA 1
CCCCGCGCUCCCCGGCGCCCCCAGCCCGCUGACCCCCGGCCAGGCAGGCCCGCGGGGGAGGCAGGACCGGAGCCCUGAGGCCCUGGCCGGCCUCGGGGUUGAGGCUCAGCUCGGGAUAAGUGAUCUUUGGGGCCCGCAGAGGACGUCUCCCCAAGACCCAGUGGCAACCGGGUGGCACGUACCUGCCUCUUCUUGGAGUAUGGACGAGUCGAACCGGGCACAAGCAUGGAGCUGCGGGUGAGUCCCGGCUGGCGCUGGCGCGGCGCAGUGAGCACCAGCUGACGAAGAGGGCUCCCCGGCCUCGGCUCCUGCCUGACUCUCUCCCACCUCCGCCGGGGGCCCAGAAGGGACCUCCCCGGGAAAUCGGCGCCACCCAGCGGGCAGCCGCCUCAUCGCGCCUGGGCCGGCAGAGCCACACCCCGCGUCUCGCGUCACUGAGUCGCGUCACGGCUAUUGGCUUGUUCCUACUGUGGCGUCAUUAGAGCCCGGCCUCCGGCUGGGGCCACCCAGGCAACCGAUAUACACAGAGAACCACGUGGAGGAAAAGCACGCGAGUUUGGAGCGGGUGGAGCAGGAACAGAGGUGGACUGGAAUGUCACACGACGGGGCAGCUGGAAGGGCACCACUGAGUUCAGUACUUCAAAAUUGCCGUGCUCUACCUCUCCCCAGUGCACAAAAACACUCUCCACACCAAGCUGCUGCUGCUGGGGGAUGGAGGGAUGGCGUCAGCGAUUCAAGACUGUUUUUCCUACCUGUUCAGCACUUCUUUCAGCGAUAUGAAGUUAAAUCCAGGCAUCAUCGCCAUCAACAUACAGCCAUACUCCAGGAUUGCCCAUCUUCAACAUAAACGGACUCUCCUGGACUCCACUUCCCACAUCAGUCACAGCCACACUUCCUGAGAAAGAAGUCUACACUCUUCAUUCACUUUCAUUCACCCACUUCCAACCUGGCUCCUGUUACCACUGGACCGUCAAAAGUGACUCUUGUCAAAGUCACUAUUCUGGCUACCUAUUGCUGUGUAAUAACCUCCUCAAAAUUUAGUAUCUUUAAAAAACAAUUUAUUAUGUCUCAUACUUCUGUGGUUGACUGGGCUCAGCUGGGAAAUUCUUCUUGGGGUCUGUUUCUCAUGAGGUUGCAGUCAACAGCUGGGACUGGAGUCGUCUGAAGCCUCAGCUGAGCUGGACAUCCAAGAUGGCUCACUCACAUGGCUGGCAGUGGAUGGUGGCUGUUGGGUGGGAGCUUAGCUUGUGCUGGCAACUUGAGUGCCUAUAUGUGGCCACUCUGUGUGGCUUGGGCUUCUCAGAAUGGCAGCUGGGUUCCAGGAGGGAGUGUCCCAGGAGUGAGCAUUCCAGGAGAACCAGGUGGAAGCUGCAAGACUUCUUAUGAGCCAGGCUUGGAAGUCAUGCCAUGUGACUUCUACUAUAUACUGUUGGUCAUAAGCAAGACAAGGCCAUGCCAGAUUCAACAGAAGGGAUUACCCAGGGGCCCAGUUUACAUAGGAGGCCAUCUUUGGAGACUAGCUACCAUAGUCACCAGCGCAUUGGUCCUCAUCUUACUUGACUUCAUAGCAGUUGACCCAGUUGAUCACUGUUUUUCAAAACUCUCCCUUCUUUGGCUCCACAGACCCCUGGAUUUCCUCUUUCUUCACUGACUGCUCUUUAAUCUCUUUUGCACCCUCAAAAGCCUAAAUAUUGGACUGUCUCAGAUUCUACUCUGGGCCUAGAAUUAUAGAAUUAUUCCUCUGUCAUGUCUGCCUGCAUGAUCUUACUCGUCCCAUGGUCGAUGUCUACCAUCCAAAUAAAAUUUCCAGCAUACUUUUGUUUCUAGCCUGGACCUCUUACCUCUUGCUCAGGACUGGGAUAUCCAGCUGUUUUCUUGAUGCUUCCAUUUGGAUGUCUAAUGGGCAUCACAGAUUUAAUAUAUCUGCUUUCCCACCUCAAUGCUUCCCCAGCCUUUUCUUUCUCAACAGAUGUCGUCAUCAUCCACUUGUUCAAACAAGAGCCCAAGGAUCAUCCUAGAUUCCUUCUCACUUCCUCUCAAUCCAUCCCUGAAACAGCCAAACCACCAGUAAGCAAGUCCUGUGGGGUUUUUUUUUUUUUGCCAAACAUUUAAGGUAUUUCUUUAGAUAUAUUUGAUUUAUAUUGUUUAGCAAACCAAUACAUUUAUAGUGACAAAAAAGUAUUACUAGUUUUAUAAUAUAAAAGCAGUCUGUUACCCCAUCCUAAAUUCUUACUCCCCAAAGCAACCCUCUCAACUCUAGCUAUUUCUUCUGCUAUUUACUUCUAUGUUUAAAAAUUUCUCUCAUAUAUAUGUAUAUAUAUAUAUAAAGUGUAUAUAUAUAAAGUAUGUAACAUAUAAAAGUAUAUAAAGUAUAUUUUAUACAUAUAGAACUAUUUCUUGAUUUUUUUUUCAGUGUUAAGUAGGAUCUAUUGACAUUUCUUUUUUUUUUUUUUUUGAGGUGGAGUUUCGCUCUUGUUGUCCAGGCUGGAGUGCAGUGGCAUGGUCUCAGCUCACUGCAACCAAAGCUCCCGGGUUCAAGUGAUUCUCCUGCCUCAGCCUCCUGAGUAGCUGGGAUUACAGGCAUGUGCCACCACACCCAGCUAAUUUUUGUAUUUUUAGUAGAGAUGGGGUUUACCAUGUUGGCCAGGCUGGUCUCAAACACCUGACUUCAAGUGAUCCACCUGCCUUGACCUCUCAAAGUGCUGGGAUUACAGGUGUGAACCACCAUGCCCAGCCUCUGUUGACUUUCAACUAUGGAAAAUGUGGUUUUAGCUUUCUUAUAUGCCCAUUUUCUCCUUCACCAAAUACAUACACUUAACCUUUUCCCAUCCUCCAAUAUAUCGUCAUCAUAAUUUUUGGUUAAAAUCCCUAUUUAGUGUUACCUUAGUCCAUUCAUACUGCUAUGACAAAAUACCACAGACUGGGCAGCUUAUAAACAACAGAAAUUUAUUUCUCAGAGUUCUAGAGGCUGGGAAGUCUAAGCUCUAGGUGCUGCAGACUUAGUACCUGUUGAGGGCCCACUUUCUGAUUUAUAGACAGCGUCUUCUUGCUGUGGCCUCAUGUAGUGGAAGGAGUAUGGGAUCUCUGUGGGGCCUCUUUUAUAAGGAGACUAAUCUCAUUCAUUAGGGGUUCACCCUGAUGACCUAAUCACCUCCCAAAGAGCCCACCUCCAAAUAUCAUCACCUUGGGGUUUAGGAUUUCAAAAGAUGAAUUUUGAAUUUUGAGUGACACAAACAUUCAGACCAAAGGGAAUGUUUAUAUCAGUAUGACUACGUAAAUAUUAUUCACAGUAAAUCCAUCUAACCUGUUAUGAGCAUUCUUUUCUCCUCCCUCUGGAGUUAAAUAUUUGCCAUCUUUUUUUUUUUUUGGGUUGUGUUGAAAAUUUAAAAUAUUUAAAAAUAUUUAAAGUAAAUUAUAGGUUUACAAGAAAUUGCAUAAAUAGUACAGAGAGGUCUUGUCUGUACCCUUGGGGUGCAGAGGUUAGAGGUCUCAUGUACCCUUCACCCAGUUUCCCCCAAUGGCAACAUUUUGUAUAAUUGGAGUACAGUAUCAAAACUGGAAAUUGAUAUUGGUAAAAUCCACAGACCUUAUUUAGAUUUCCCCAGUCCUCUCUGUUUUAACUCUAAACGUAUCUUGAAGUCACCGCUUCUGUCUAUCUUAACCACUACAACUUUUGUCAAAGUUGCUGUCAUCUAUUUUAGGACCAUGGCAAUGUCCUCCUGAUUUCUUGUUCUACUGUCAUUCUCCUUUAUGUUUCUACAGAGCAGCAAGAGGGAUCUUAUAAAAAUAUGACCAGAUCACAUCCUUCAACACUUCCCUGUUACCCUUACAAUAAAAUUCAAACUCUUCACCAUGACCUCCAAGGCUCCUAUUGAAUCCGGCUCUUGUCUGCCUCUUCAGUAACAUCAUGGACCACUCCUUACCAUUCCCUCCAUCUGGCUGUGCUUCCUGCAGCUCUUCCAAUGGCUGGCUUGUUCUCACCUUUGAAGUCUCAGCUCAAAGGACACUCCCUUGGGCUCUCCCUCAUCACCCUAACUAAUAGGUCACUUAAUAUUGUUAUUAUUUUUUAGAGACAAAGUCUCACUAUGUCACCCAGGCUUGCCUCAAACUCCUGGGCUCAAGCAAUUCUCCCACCUUGGCCUCUCAAAGUUCUAGGAUUACAGGCGUGAGCCACUAUGCCUGGCUAUGUCACUUAUUAUUCUUUAUUAUCUUCUAUAUAUAAAUGAUCCCAAUCUAUAAUUAUUUGAUUUAUUGAUUGGUUUACUUGCUUAAUAUCCAACUCCCAUACUAGAAUAUAAAUGUUAUAGAACAAGAGAUUGUCUGUACCAUCCACUGUUCUAGUCUCAUUACCCCACAUAAGGCC